rnacentral:lncRNA from 1 species
CACCCUCAACCUGGCUGUUUCCACAAACAACCAACCUUGAUUUAGGGCGAUCCAAAGUCCCAUCUGCUCUGAUACCAUGAUAAGUUUCAUGGGCUUCCAACUUAAAACCAAUUGGCAAUUAGUGGAUUGGCACAAGUCCCUUAUAUAUUACUCAAGUCCCUUUUAUAUUUCCGAUGUGGGAUCUUCUCUCCAAUACCCUCCUUCGAGGUAAUGGUGCGUAUAACCAAUUAAUCUCACAAAAUCCAUCAUACCCCCUCUGAAAUCAUGCUUUAUUUUCUAGCGAUCUCGGCGGAACUGAGCCUUCU